CAAUAGUAAAUCUAACGCCAGCCACUCAAUGAUUCUUCGAACAUGAGCCAUUUAAUAUUCAUAUUUAAUGACAGGAAACAAUAUGCCUUAGUAUGCGAAUAUUUAUAAUAUUCAAAUAUUGUUCCGCCACAGAACCCAAUUACCUCUCCAGCUCAAACCGCAUCGAUGGAAUGAUGACGUACAUCUACCACUCCGACGGCCUCCCUCAGGCCAGCGCCUAUUCCAACUGUAGAGCCUGGGGCGCCUACCUCGCAGUGCCGGCCAAUGGGAAUGAACUUGCAUAUUUACGCCAAGUCUCGUCCGGAUUGGGAUAUUUUUGGAUAGGACUUGAUGCUAACGGGCGAAACGGACUUGAUGCGAAAAGGACUUGAUGCUAACGGCUGGUAACAAUAUUGUUACCAGCGGUGCUUUCAACGACUACGGAGGCCAGACACCGAGAUACCUGAAUUGGGGCUCUGGUGAACCAAAUCACUUGACGAGCUCUGAGCAGUGCCUGAACAUUUAUAAUGGUCUUUUCAACGACUUUCCUUGCGAUAUUGCGUCACCGUACAUCUGCCAAUCUUGCGCACCGUACAGCCGAGUUUCGCUGCCUCAUUCAUCCUACCCCGCUGACUACAAGUGCUUCAAAAAACUACGAUAAUGAAC